rnacentral:ncRNA from 1 species
UAAAAGCCAUUGAAAAAGCAAAGUAUGUAAUUACAAAAUAUAUCAAAGAGAGAAAGGCUGUAAGCUGAAAGCCAAUCAUAUAUAAAUUACAGAAAUUUCACUUUGGAGGUUUCUUUUUGAAAUGUAUAUAGCAGAUUAGAAAAGAACGCAGAAGCUACGUUACAGCUAUAAUGAGGUUAAUUCUAGAAUUAAUGAAAUUAGGUGGUACCACGGAUAUAAAACCAUUCGUCCUAUAA